CAGCCAGCAUUUCUCCCCACCCUACCCCUCCCUCCCUCCCAUUCUAGCUAAUUCCUCCUAAGAUGUUUACUGAUAGAAGUUUAAGUCAACAGAGACAGGACUCAGAUUAGGUCCUCCUAACUCCAAAUUCGAUACUAUUUCCAGUGGGUGACAGCACACAAGUCAAGGUGACAGGAAAGCUGAUCUUCACAGAACAUCAAGACAGCUGGGUUUGUUGAGAUGUUGUGAGGAACAAAAGAAAUAAUGGAUUUGAAAGAACUUUUUAAGCACAGUGGUCAAGUCUGUGGGAUCAGAAACACAUCUGGAAGGGGAAUGAAGUGAAGCUGACUGGGGCCUGUCCCCAGAAUGGAGAAUCUCAGAAGGAACUCACAAGUAGGAGGAGACUGGCAUGCUGGAGGGAAAUUCCAAGUCUCAUCUUUAAGGGGAGCAAGAAUUUUGCUUCAAUGAUGGGAAUGUCAACAGAGGACUUAUUGCCUAUACCUUUCUCCUCGCCAGUAUUUUAGCAGCUUCUUGAGUAUUAUUAAAGCUUGAAGCCAAUUUGCAAAGCAAGGCAGGAUGGGAGGAUCAACUAAGAAAUGUGAACCAGAUUAAAAUGUA